rnacentral:rRNA from 1 species
CCUACGCGUGGCUGCAGUGAGGAAUAUUGGUCAAUGGGCGCGAGCCUGAACAAGCCAAGUCGCGUGAGGGAAGACGGUCCUAUGGAUUGUAAACCUCUUUUGUCGGGGGGCAAAAGACGCCACGCGUGGCGUUCCGAGAGUACCCGAAGAAAAAGCAUCGGCUAACUCCGUGCCAGCAGCCGCGGUAAUACGGAGGAUGCGAGCGUUAUCCGGAUGUAUUGGGUUUAAAGGGUGCGCAGGCGGCAGAUCAAGUCCGCGGUAAAAUUGAGAGGCUCAACCUCGUCGAGCCGUUGAAACUGGGUUUGGUGAGUGAGUGAGAAGUAUGCGGGAUGCGUGGUGUAGCGGUGAAAUGCAU